UACGAGGGGAGCAAGCGUUGUUCGGAUUUACUGGGCGUAAAGGGCGCGUAGGCGGCCACGACAAGUCACUUGUGAAAUCUCCGGGCUUAACUCGGAAAGGUCAAGUGAUACUGUCGGGCUAGAGUACAGAAGGGGCAACUGGAAUUCUCGGUGUAGCGGUGAAAUGCGUAGAUAUCGAGAGGAACACCUGCGGCGAAGGCGGGUUGCUGGGCUGAUACUGACGCUGAUGCGCGAAAGCCAGGGGAGCGAACGGG
rnacentral:rRNA from 1 species